GCCGGUUUGGGAUACUAUCGGAGAGCUCGUUUUCUUUUAUAGGUUAAUCGAAACACUGGGGCCAUUUUCCACGGGUUUCCCAAUAUCGACCACACUCAAGAUUGUGUGAGAAAGGAUAUCAUAGGAUGGCUUCAGUGGCUUCGCCAUAAUGUGGGCUUUCAGGAUUUUCGUUUUGAUUAUGCAAAGGCUAUUCACCUAAAUAUGUUAAAGAGUAUAUUGAAGGAGCAAAGCCACUGUUAUCUGUCGGGGAGUAUUUGGA